UUUUUGAAACGCUUUCUUCCUUCACACAAUACCAUAUUUUCACAAACCCUAAAUCUGAAGAUCCUGUUUCUCUCUUCUUUGCAAUCGUAUACCCUAUGAUUCAGACUGCAAUUAAUCUGGCUCCAUCAUUCUUCGUCUUCUUAAUCGUCUAAUAGGAAAGUCAGUAUUCUUCAUUUCUCAAAAGCCUUUUGAUGACACAGGAAACCAUUUAUAAACCCUAACCAUCGGCGAAAGGCUUCAAUCGGAUCGUUCCUGGCUCAUUCUAUCGGAUCAACGUUUGACCUAUAACAUCAGUUUUACACGUGUACGUUGAAAGCUACAAUGGUUUACGGAUUUGCGGUACAAGUUUGGGACUGCAAAAAGAAAUCUAUGAAACUACCAAAGCAAUAUGAGGUGUGGAUUAACACAUUUAACUACCCUGUGAAGAAUGCGGUUAUUGGGACACUUGAUGGAAGGUUGUUUAAUGUAAAGGUGUUUAAGAUUGGAUGUGACUUCUUUUUUUACAAUGGAUGGAUAGAUAUGAUAACUGCAUUGAAAAUACCAUCCAAGUCAUGGUUGGUUUUCCAGUAUGAAGAAGCACUGGCUUGCUUUCGGAUCUUCUACUUUUAUCAGGAUGUUUCUCUUGCGCCUUCCGAUUACUUCUACUACAAAUCAGGAUGUGUCAAAGAUAGAGCUAAUUGCAUGCAUGCGAACAAAUAUUUUGUUCAUCAUAAGAUGCUUAAUACUGUUCCUACGUAUCCUGUUGUAGUCUGAACUUGUACAAACCGUAAAUGGUUUGUCCGUAUGGAUGACUUUGAAAAUGAGCUCUACGUAACAACUGGAUGGAAUCGGAUUAAGCAGGAGAUGUCUAUCACGGAUAACCAUUUGGUGGUGUUCGAAAUGCUUGAUAUGAAUACAUUUGAAAUGAGUGUUUUUAGUUGUGAUCUUGCCCUUUUGUGUUACCCUCCUGAACUCAGUGUUGUCAAAGAAGAACCAAACUAUGAUCCGAUUGAAAUUUCCGAUGAUGAAUCGGCUAAUCCGAUUGCUGAUCAUAUUGUUGAACAUAAUGAGGAUGAAGGGGUACCUAUUACUUUCCGUGUUGAUAAUCAUUAUCGACUUCGUAAAAAGCGGGCACAAGUUCCUGCUUUGGAUAGGAAGAUGGGUUUGACGAUUGAGGACGCUUUUGGUGGGGUUUGGGAGGUCCAGAUUGGUGUUGAGUACUUAGAAGAUCUGAUAUAACAAUCGAACGAUGAUUAUUCAUCCGACACAACUUUCUUCCAUCUUAAAUCUAAUGAACGUAAGAUCUUUAGUGAUUUGUGUUUCAGAUUCUACGAUUCCUUUCUUCAUCGAUUAUGGUUUUUUUUUUUCAAAAAUUGUGACAACCCGAACCCUCAAGGUUAGUGUCGUCCAACCUCGUAACUUUCAAUUUGGUAUUAUUCCUAUUGCACUAUUGUUCAAUCGUAUCGCAAACAGGAAUCACUAUUCGUAUUUACAUGUUUGGACCUUAAUUUCUACUUUGGGCCGUACCUUCAUUCACACAUCGGCUAAUACGAGCUCAUAUGCACAUACCCGAACCUUAUACGGGCCACAUAUUCAUGGUUGGACUUGCCGAGCCCAAACAAGUCCUACUUUGGGCCGGCUAUUAAGUUCUACUCCUAAUCUAAUUAGAUGAGCAUAAUCAUUGAUCUUUUGGUGUGGGCUUAGGCCCAGUUGGGUCAACUAGUAGAACCGCCUAGGUAAUGUUAUUUAAGUGCACGUAACCAGGAAUUUUACAUGUGCGUAACAAGGAAUCUUAUAACAAACCAAACCCUACAUCUUCUUGAAUGCGACGGACGUAGGAGACCCCCCCCCCUGUUCGAGAUAACACCCUUUGGCAGUCAAGUUUCUGGUUAGUGUUUAAUAAUUGUUAACCUUUAUGAUUGUGUGUGUAUAUGCUGCCGACAUUUGUGAUGAUGUAAUUGAACCAUAAAAGGGUCCAAUAGAUAGAUAAGGUUUUGAUGAUAUUGGUUGUGAGAUAUGACUAAUCUGACAUACAUGUAUGAGACUAAUAAUUGUGUUGUUGAUAAAUAGGUGAUCACAUGGGUAUACUUGUAGGUUAGUGAACUAAUUGGUCAAAUAACAUGAAGGCAUGUAAGCCUUAGAUUCGGUCCAAUCAUAUGAUUGUGAAACACCUUGAAUGUGCAACCAAUUGGAUAAGGAACACUCAUGAUUGUCGGCCAUUGUUGAUUGUCUUCAUAUGAUAAUGAAUUAUGUAUGAUUAUACUAGUAUGUCGGCCAUCAUGUCACCUAACAAACAGAACAUAAUUUGGAACAAUUUAAUAAUGAAUAUGUGCAGACCUCAUUAAUUAGACAACAUCAGAAACCAUAUGAUAUAUUAUCUUUAAUUUGAUUUAUAAUUGUGAUAGGGUUUGUGCAUGUGACCGUUUUUGAGGUGUUGAUCAUCUAGUGGACCGAGCAAAGGUCCAAUAGGGGGCGGCUUGGGUAUUGUAAUAAUUAAUUGUGUAUAUUGAUUGUGCUGUAUGUCAUGCAUGGAUUUGGGAGGUGUAAUUGGGGUACAAGGGUUGAAAUAAUAAUAUAUAACUCGGACUGGGGUCUGGUACGGCAAUUGGCAAGGGAGAAAUAAUAACGUUAUGAUGGGCUGAUUUCUUUGGGAUGGACUUGAUGUACUGGGCUGGGUAGCAUUUAUGGGUUAAACAAUAUUAGGUGGGCAUCUUGUGGGCUCGAGUACAAGCUGUACAGAAUGAUUUUACACAGUGUGGGUUGGGCCGUAUAGUGGGUCAGGAAUAGUGUGCGACGCACUGUUGGGCCGAGCGGGCAUUAGAUCGCACGUUUGAGACUUAGUCGUAUACUCUUAUUAUUAGGCCUCGAGUCAACUGGACCGCACACUUAGAUUAGGAAUAAUAUGAACUGUUAGGUGUCUAUUUGAAAUAUGGAUUUGUAAAGUAAACUUUUAUGGGGCACGAAUACUUGCUAUGUGUUAUACUAUGAAUUCUUGUAACUUGAUUGAGCUACUCGAUAACUGUUUGAAUAAUCAUUGUUCUUGCUUGAAUUGUUGCUUAACUGUUAUACGUGCCAUACGUGACAACCAUUGAUGGGAUCUAUGUGUAAACAAAUUGUAAAACUGAUCAUUACCAAACACUCUCCUAGGUCGCGAGUAUUGAAUAAAUUAACAAGUGAAAUAUUCUGCCGAGCAAAUCAAGGUAAUUAUUGAAGGAACUUGGGAGCUUGCCGUCUGAUGCUGCUGGAGUGGUUGUGGUCA